GAUGAACGCUGGCGGCGUGCCUAAUACAUGCAAGUCGAGCGAACGGACGAGAAGCUUGCUUCUCUGAUGUUAGCGGCGGACGGGUGAGUAACACGUGGAUAACCUACCUAUAAGACUGGGAUAACUUCGGGAAACCGGAGCUAAUACCGGAUAAUAUUUUGAACCGCAUGGUUCAAAAGUGAAAGACGGUCUUGCUGUCACUUAUAGAUGGAUCCGCGCUGCAUUAGCUAGUUGGUAAGGUAACGGCCUACCAAGGCAACGAUGCAUAGCCGACCUGAGAGGGUGAUCGGCCACACUGGAACUGAGACACGGUCCAGACUCCUACGGGAGGCAGCAGUAGGGAAUCUUCCGCAAUGGGCGAAAGCCUGACGGAGCAACGCCGCGUGAGUGAUGAAGGUCUUCGGAUCGUAAAACUCUGUUAUUAGGGAAGAACAUAUGUGUAAGUAACUGUGCACAUCUUGACGGGACCUAAUCAGAAAGCCACGGCUAACUACGU
rnacentral:rRNA from 1 species